rnacentral:rRNA from 1 species
UACGUAGGUGGCAAGCGUUGUCCGGAUUUAUUGGGUUUAAAGGGUGCGUAGGCGGCCCUGUAAGUCAGUGCUGAAAUAUCCCGGCUCAACCGGGAGGGUGGCAUUGAUACUGCAGGGCUUGAGUGGAGUCGAAGUGGGCGGAAUUGACGGUGUAGCGGUGAAAUGCUUAGAUAUCGUCAAGAACACCGAUAGUGAAGACAGCUCACUAGGCUUCAACUGACGCUGAGGCACGAAAGUGUGGGGAUCAAACAGG